AGUCGACGGAUCCUUCGGGAUUUAGUGGCGGACGGGUGAGUAACACGUAAGAACCUGCCUCUAGGACGGGGACAACAGUUGGAAACGACUGCUAAACCCGGAUGAGCCGAAAGGUAAAAGAUUUAUCGCCUAGAGAGGGGCUUGCGUCUGAUUAGCUAGUUGGUAAGGUAAGAGCUUACCAAGGCGACGAUCAGUAGCUGGUCUGAGAGGAUGAUCAGCCACACUGGGACUGAGACACGGCCCAGACUCCUACGGGAGGCAGCAGUGGGGAAUUUUCCGCAAUGGGCGAAAGCCUGACGGAGCAAGACCGCGUGGGGGAGGAAGGUUCUUGGAUUGUCAACCCCUUUUCUCAGGGAAGAACUCAAUGACGGUACCUGAGGAAAAAGCAUCGGCUAACUCCGUGCCAGCAGCCGCGGUAAUACGGGGGAUGCAAGCGUUAUCCGGAAUGAUUGGGCGUAAAGAGUCCGUAGGUAGCCAAUCAAGUCUGCUGUUAAAGAGCGAGGCUUAACUUCGUAAAGGCAGUGGAAACUGGAAGGCUAGAGUGUAGUAGGGGCAGAGGGAAUUCCUGGUGUAGCGGUGAAAUGCGUAGAGAUCAGGAAGAACACCGGUGGCGAAGGCGCUCUGCUGGGCUAUAACUGACACUGAGGGACGAAAGCUAGGGGAGCGAAUGGGAUUAGAUACCCCAGUAGUCCUAGCGGUAAACGAUGGAAACUAGUGUGGGCCUGUAUCGACCCGGGCCGUGCCGAAGCUAACGCGUUAAGUUUCCCGCCUGGGGAGUACGCACGCAAGUGUGAAACUCAAAGGAAUUGACGGGGGCCCGCACAAGCGGUGGAAGUAUGUGGUUUAAUUC
rnacentral:rRNA from 1 species